rnacentral:rRNA from 1 species
GAUGAACGCUGGCGGCGUGCCUAAUACAUGCAAGUCGAGCGAAUGGAUUAAGAGCUUGCUCUUAUGAAGUUAGCGGCGGACGGGUGAGUAACACGUGGGUAACCUGCCCAUAAGACUGGGAUAACUCCGGGAAACCGGGGCUAAUACCGGAUAACAUUUUGAACCGCAUGGUUCGAAAUUGAAAGGCGGCUUCGGCUGUCACUUAUGGAUGGACCCGCGUCGCAUUAGCUAGUUGGUGUGGUAACGGCUCACCACGGCAACGAUGCGUAGCCGACCUUAGAGGGUGAUCUGCCACACUGGGACUGAGACACGGCCCAGACUCCUACGGGAGGCAGCAGUAGGGAAUCUUCCGCAAUGGACGAAAGUCUGACGGAGCAACGCCGCGUGAGUGAUGAAGGCUUUCGGGUCGUAAAACUCUGUUGUUAGGGAAGAACAAGUGCUAGUUGAAUAAGCUGGCACCUUGACGGUACCUAACCAGAAAGCCACGGCUAACUACGUGCCAGCCGCCGCGGUAA